AGGCAAGGCCAAGGCUUCUUGAAAGGCUGGUCAUGCCCCAGUGAUCAAUGAAGAACUCAGGGAUAUCCCAAAACUCAGGACUAUAAGGCACAAUGGGGGAGCAGGUACCAGGUGGCCAGCAUCCUAAAUGACUCUCAGCAGCUGCAGAGAAGUAUAGAAUGCUGGGGCCCUUCCAUUACUCCAUGCACUGGGGAAGAACUAGAAUUGUGAGAAGAGCUUUCACGCUCCCAUAACCAUUCCUUGGCCCACCUCCAAGAAAAGGCAGGCUGGCCUCUGUUUAGGUGUUGUCUGUGCUUGCAUUCCCAACGUUGACAUGAGGAAUUAUCAAUGGGUUCCGGACAUAAUCAGCCACACGGCAGAGUGAAUUCCAGGAGUGUAAAUAACAAGAGCUGCCUAUAAAUCUACCUCAGAAGACAAAGGGAAAAGCAAAACUCUGCCCAGGAAGACCUUACUUUACAAACCAGGUGACCAAAUUUCUAAAACAUCAUUCCCGUAAUCCCUGAUCAACAGAAAGGAAGCUCUGGAAGCAUGAAUGCUCAACCAUAUUUACCAGCCUUCCUGUGGUCAUUUGUCUGAGCUCCAGCUAGUGAAGUAUGAGUAGAACGGACAUGCACCACUUCCAGACCUGGCACCGGCAAACCCCCCAUGGCAACCCUCCAACCCUUUCCUCAACAACUGGACCACGCUGGAAAGGACUGAGGAUCUAGAGGAGGACAGGGCUGUAAUAUGGAAGGAGUUUGGUUUCUGAAGGACCAUGUAGCAGGCCACCUGCAGGGCGGGAACAUCUUUAAUAGGUUUGGAAUAGCAAGAAAUAAACUGGUCUUGUAUUAAACAACUAAUU
rnacentral:lncRNA from 1 species